rnacentral:rRNA from 1 species
CACGUAGGGCGCAAGCGUUGUCCGGAAUUAUUGGGCGUAAAGAGCUCGUAGGCGGUCUGUUGCGUCCGCUGUGAAAACUCGGGGCUUAACCCGAGCCUGCAGUGGAUACGGGCAGACUAGAGUGCGGUAGGGGAGACUGGAAUUCCUGGUGUAGCGGUGAAAUGCGCAGAUAUCAGGAGGAACACCGGUGGCGAAGGCGGGUCUCG